CACCCUCUUAGGCCAGAGAAUUCCUCAUGGGCGCCAAACUCUUUUCCUUUAUUUUCCUUCUCACAUACGUCUCUUUCUCUAUUGUCUUCAUACGCUCUCUCUCUCAUAAAAACCCUAAUUCUCCAUUUCUUUCGAUCAUCUCCCCUUUCUCUUCACAAACCCUAAUAUUCUCUGCUGAUCAAUGGCUAUUUUCAUGAAAUCCUAAGUCUCAACGGAUCGAUCCAUGAAACGCCAUUCUUCCCAUUUCCAUCUAUCUCUAACGAAACCCUAGCUGCGAUGCGAUGAGAUGAAGAUCAUAAUCAAAUCCAACCGAUCAGUUAGUUUUCUGAUACAAGAGGAUGGCAGUAGUGCAAUUGAAAUAGAAAACUUGGAUCUUGAUGUUGUUGAACUUCAAAGCAUUUUGAUAUGUGGGUUGUUUUGGUUCAUGAGGGUUAGGAUAUUUGAAUCAAUUAUCUGGAUGUUUUCGGGCCACUGGAUGUUACUGCAGGUAUUUUUUUUCCCCGUAAGUUUGUAUAUUUUACCCUAAUAAACUUCUUACAUAUUGAUGUAAUUAAUUCUUGGUUUGUGAAGCCAUGAUGUAAUUAAUUCUUGGUUUGUGAAGCCGUUGUUUGAGGCGAUGAGUGAGCCGAAUAAGUGGGUGCAUUCACAUUGACUUGUAUUUGAAGGUAAAUACCUAUCGUACCAGACCGGUACCGAAACCACUAAUUGUCGGCACCGAAAAUCAAACCGGUUCAGGAAAUUUGGUUUUGGAUAAUUUUGUGUUUUUAAGUCCUUGAAUUCGUGUUUUCCUUUCCUUUUUCUUUGUUGAUAAUGGUUUUGAUUUAGUCAUAAUUCAUAUACAUAUAAUUUCAUUUGUGAGUGGAAUGUGAUUGUCAGCAACACAUAGCCACACAGACAAAAUUGAUAUUCGCUAUUUAAGAGAUUUAUGUCACUGGCCCUAUACAUGGUCUAAGAACACUAAGUUACAUACUUAAUGUGCAGCUGAACACUCACCAACCACUAUGGUCGUCAUUAUGAUGCUCAUUUAGUAUAUCUGGUUGAUUACCUCACUAACUCAUUUCAUUAAAAAAAGAAAAAUGAAAUGCUGGUGUUAAUGCUGGAAGUGAAGAAAAUUUAUGUUUUUGAUAUCCGUGUCGAUUUUUUUGGGAUUCAAGCUUAAUACGGAAAACUUAUAUUGUGAAAUAACUUAUAAUAAACAUUUAUUCACCACCGGUGCACGUUGUUCUUUUUUACACAGUUUCAAAGGCAUCACGUUAAAUUGAAAGAGAGAAAAGCUUCACUUAUGAGGAAAUGAAACGUGCUACAAAUAAUUUUGAUGUUGGUAGUGAAAUUUGGCAGAGUGGGUAUGGAAAAGUAUACAAAGGCAUCUUUUUGCAUAGAUUAUGUGAUGAAGAAGGCAAACUGGAGGAAUGCUCAUCUUAGCAAGUCAUGCAUCAUGGCGGUUAGCAGGCAAUUAUUCAUCAUUUUUUCAUUGUGUUGGAUCAAGUGAAAAGUGUUUUAAGCUAAUUUUAAUGUCUUGCAUAGCCGUCAAAUUUUAACAAAAGGGCAUGGAAACUAUUAUAUUAUAUCAUUCAUGUUUCCCUUCUUUUAGGACCGGAUCAUCAUAAAUAGAAAUAUAUAUUUUGGUGUCAUCUUGAUAAUGCAUUCAAGGGAGCCAAUUUUGAUGCAAAGAACUCCUCUCUAUAACUGGUACAUUCUUGUGCAAGGAGUUCACUAUUUCAUUUUAUUUGUUUGUUCAGGACCAUCUAAGUUGAGUAUGUAUCUAAAUUGGGUGGUCAAAGAGGUUGGUUAACGGGUCAAAGUGGGUUGGCGUAAAACAUGUAAAUUUAUAGGGCGGGUCAAGAUCAGUAGCGUUUAACUGCCAUCACUUUAUUUGCAAUCUUUAUCAAAAUUUUAUUGAGAAUAUGCACGCUUCUUUAUACACUCGAAGUUAAGAUAUGUUCAUUUGACUUCGGUUAUUUGUCUCCAUUUUAGGCAUGCUUUAUAACAAUAAUCUUGAAGGAAACAUGCCCGAAAAGUUGAGAACCUCAAUUUUUGUGUUUACCAACUCUGUGCAAGACUCACCUGUUUGACGUAGGUCCUUUUCAAGUUUUGUGUUAUCAUUAAUUAUAUGUCUUUCAAGAGGUACUAAACGCUCAGACAAGUGAUGAUGGUUCACACAUCAUGAUUGGCAAGGGACCCGGUGCUGGAUAUAAUAUAAAUGUUCCAUGGGAGAGUGCUGCUAAAGGACAGCGAUUACUAGGGCAAGGAUUGAGAAGGCUGAUGGUGAAUGUUUAACAUUUGACCCGCUGGCUCUUAGAGCUCCACUUGGACAGAACAUGGUUCUACUUAGAGCUCCAAAGAGUGCUUGUGAGGCAUCCAAGCACUUUUGAAAAGCGCCUGGUGUCCGACACAGUCACACCGCAAGUUUUGGUGUUUGGCAAUGGAAUUCGACACUCAGGAAAAAUUUCUACAAUCUGAACGUUGCUACCUCACGAUACACAGUCCAGGUAACCGGGACUUUCUUGAUGCUUAAACAACAAAAAAUUGUAGUUUUUUCGACUUCAUUAUAUUAGAAAAAAAUAUAUUUGUCACAGGUUGCUUUCCUUUGUUAUUAUCGUUACUACACACCUAUAACUGCUAUAAUCUUUUGGAUUGCAAGAGUCAACCCCAUCAAUUUAGGUUUCUGGCGAUACAUUCAGGGAGGGAGAUACGGUAAAGAUGCCUCCAAAGUUAGAGUAUUAUUGGUCAAAACGAAUCUAAUCGGUUCCAACCGAACAGCGGUGUAAAUCAGAUGUUGCAUUCUUUUGAUUAUAUCACAAAUUUAUUACAAAUUUGACUUUUUCCGUUAUUUUUAACUUUUUCUUUUUAUUCAUUUAUUGUAUACCUUACAACAAAAGUUUUGUAUAAGGAAAUAUUUUGAUCCAAUCUUUUUCGUUUGUCUCCUUUAGAGAUAUCCUCGAAAUGCAUAUUGUGGUGAGGUUAUUGGAAGGGGCUAGCAUUGCUUUCUGUGGUACUGUAAUAGUGGGGUGUUGGAGCUUGUGGAGGGUGAGAAAUAACUUGGAAGUUCUCGAAUAAACCGGUUCAGAUUGAAGACAUUAUUAGCGAAGUAACGUCGGUUGGCUUCUUAUGGUUUAGAAGUAGAUUGAAGUUUAAAGAAUUAUCUUGGGAGAAUUCGUGUAAAUUUCUAAUUAUGUAGUCAUGUUUUGUGGUCGGCC